rnacentral:rRNA from 1 species
UACGUAGGGUGCGAGCGUUAAUCGGAAUUACUGGGCGUAAAGCGUGCGCAGGCGGCUUUGCAAGACAGAUGUGAAAUCCCCGGGCUCAACCUGGGAACUGCAUUUGUGACUGCAAGGCUAGAGUACGGCAGAGGGGGAUGGAAUUCCGCGUGUAGCAGUGAAAUGCGUAGAUAUGCGGAGGAACACCAAUGGCGAAGGCAAU